rnacentral:rRNA from 1 species
GACGAACGCUGGCGGCGUGCCUAAUACAUGCAAGUCGAGCGGACGAAUCGAAAGCUUGCUUUUGAUUCGUUAGCGGCGGACGGGUGAGUAACACGUGGGCAACCUGCCCUGUAGACGGGGAUAACACCGAGAAAUCGGUGCUAAUACCGGAUAACACGAAAUGUCGCAUGACGUUUCGUUGAAAGACGGCGCAAGCUGUCGCUACAGGAUGGGCCCGCGGCGCAUUAGCUAGUUGGUGAGGUAACGGCUCACCAAGGCGACGAUGCGUAGCCGACCUGAGAGGGUGAUCGGCCACACUGGGACUGAGACACGGCCCAGACUCCUACGGGAGGCAGCAGUAGGGAAUCUUCCGCAAUGGACGAAAGUCUGACAGAGCAACGCCGCGUGAGCGAAGAAGGCCUUCGGGUCGUAAAGCUCUGUUGUUAGGGAAGAACAAGUAACGCAGUAACUGGCGUUACCGUGACGGUACCUAACGAGAAAGCCACGGCUAACUACGUG